CUGAUAAUUCGCACUAAUGGUUUGGAAAACAUUUUCAAAAAUAGCUAAUUGAGAGUCUACAAAUCGGCAAAAGUCGUUGCUAACAAUUGUUUGGAAAAUUGUGCAGCAAUUCGAUCAUUUUGAAGUUGAACUCUCAUAUUAGUGGUCCAUAAAGGUGAUACCUUCAGGCAAGCAUUCAAUUCAUCUGCAGCCGUUGCACGGGGAAUUACUGGCAACGUCUGCCUGUCAACAAUAAUUGCAGCAACAUCAUUAACGGUGGGUGCAUUGAAUCUUCGCACAUGUUUACCUGUUGGGGUACAAUCAGCAUUUUGACAAAUUUGUGCGUAUCCGAUGGCAUUCGUUCCAAUGCUGUUUUGAACAUAUUAACCACAGCAUUAUUAGCGUGAAAAAAUGCUUGUAACUGUUCAAUAAUUCGUCUCUUUAACUGUUGUGUUCCCUGUAUAUUGCACCGCUCAUUCAGCUGAUCGACCAUCGACGAAAUGAAAUAUAUUUGCAGAAAUUUAUGCGGUUCAUCUGGUGUUGGCACCAUUGAACCAUGCAAAUGAUAUAUUUGUCCUUGUAUCUGUAAUUGCAAACAAUCAUUUGUUGAAGAAUACGGUGUAACUUAUGAUCGUGUGAUGGUGUUUUUUUUUUGUCAUGCGAAAGCAGUUAUUGUAUUCAAGGAUGUGUUGAAGAAAAUGGCUGGAAUCGGGAUCACUUCCAUCGAACAAUGGUUUCAGUGGCUGUGGUGGUGUAAGUAAUGGAUCCAGUUUGACUUUUCCACUUGCGCAGCACAAUCCAGCCGCUUCUCUUUUGAACUUUAACGCAUUGCAAUAUCGGCAUAUAGUCGUCAUUGGUCCAAUAUCUAAGUUUGCAUCAUCACUGUAGUUCGCAGUGGGAUCAGAUUGGAAUGCCAAGCGAUUGUAUGAUGCCAAUGAUCUUCGUGUGCUCACGCGUUGUCUCAAUCACACGUGUUGCUGGCUUGCAUGCUUGUGCGGCGGCCGAUGUUGGCACGUCGUCCUCUAGGCAUUUUGGACUAUGGAUAGAGUGGUGAAUUUAACCUCAAAUGCACGCUCCACAUAAUUUAUACAGUUCAACUUACCACCUUAAAGACAAAUGCCUGUUGUUGAAAUUGAAUAAAAAUUUGCACAAUACACGUGAUUGAUUUGAUGGUUUCCAAUUGAAAUGUUAGUUCCAAUUGUAAUGAACGAAUAACUUAUUUUUCACAAUUUCACAGUGAACACAAUACCGGUUUGUCACAUGAAAUUAAUUGAGCAGAGAACAAUGAGUAGCUGUCAAACAAUGUAUCACGCACCGGCGCCAUCUACUUAAAAUAUUGGUUUGUAGUACAUGCUAUGUAUCACAGAUGGCGCUGUAUGUGAAAAAAGAUUUUCCCGCCUUUCUGUUAAAAUAUUUCCUGAAUUUUCUUUGCUAUAAACCUCACGGAGCCCGAGACCUUUCCAACGAAUACAAAACCGUGGAAAUCGGUUCGUGCGUUCUGGAGUUAUAGCGUCAGGAAGGAAAACCCGACUUAUUUUUAUAUAAUAGAUUUGAAACGACACCGAACGCACUGGCCUGUGGUUUAUUUUGAAUUUAAAUUUGAAAAUAUAUGACUGGGGCAGAAGAGCUUAAAGCUUUGGGUGUAUUCAGUGCAAUUUAUCGUAGUACAUUGCACAACACCACAGAACACCAGUUCCUUCCAAAAAUUUUAAAUACGCGGGACACACAUAUUGUUUCUGUAGCAUACUACAAUAUGUACUAUAUGUGUCUUUCUGGCAUGAACUGUGUCGAUAUACGUAUAUCCCGCUCUUUCCCCUGUAUAGAUAUUAGCGUUGACAUCUUCGACAAAGCAGCCAAAAUCGCGAUCGCGAUAGCGUUCACGUCCACAACCUCUGAGACACUCUUCAUGUUUCUUUCUGUUAUAGCAUUUUCCAUCAAGAAUUAUUUGGAAAAAAAAGUUUAAGUUUAAAUAUAAUAUCAUCCUAUUUUAUUUUAUAGCAUCAAUAGGUGUUUAUAAAGAAGGUUAGUACUUGAAUUUUAUAUUGUUUCUAAAUAAUUGAAUAUAAGUGCAGAGGACGGAAUAAAAUUAUCAAUGCUCUGCACGUGCUGGAAAUCUAGUGAGAUCAAUGGUGCUGCGAUCGGGAAUGGUUGUGUCAUAUUUUUCCAAUGGUGGUUUCAAGGAAAGAUCAAACAGUUACUUAAAUUGUCUUUAAUCCUCUAGGUUCUAAAGAGUAGGUUGUACAAAAUUAAUUAAUUAAAAAUAGUAUUGUUUCAUUAGUAUAUAUGUAUGUAUGUACGUACAUAAUGUGCGAAUAUUAACAAUUGAUAAAUUAAGGUAACUAUUAUUAUAAACUAUAAAAAAUUAAGAAUUAACAUUAACUAUCUAUAAACCAUAAACAAGCUUUGUAACAAAAAAAUGAUAACAAUACCAUUUAGUACAUACAUACACUCUGCGAAAUUCAAUUAAAGGCGUGUAAAUUUUUCCUAAAAAUUUAAAAUAUUAAAUAAAUAUUUGCUUUUUACAUUUUCAAAAGAUGUUUAUUUGUAAUCUGGAACUUACGUCUUCCAGCAUAGAUUCACUGAGAUAGGUUUCCCAAAUGUUCUCGAUCGGAAAAAAACUUUCGAAUCGCGAUUUCCAGUCCAAAAGUUGAAUUGUUUCUUUUGAAGCCAGCUUCUGGUAGCGCGAAAGGCAUGUAUCGCGGCGUUAUCUUGCUGAAAUACGACGUUUCUGUCUGUGAGGAUAUCCAUAAAGACAUUCAGAACUUUGUCCAAUAAAUUUAUAUAUAUUUCUGAAAUCAUACGUCCGGAAAUUUUGCAUAUGGGUGUCCUGUUAUGAUAAUUGAAAUCAGCCAACAGUUGAAAUCAUUAAGCUACCACCUCCGAAGUUUCACUUGGCAGAAUAACACUCGGGGCCUCUCAAUGCCAAUAGUAAUUAAAUCCAUCAAGGCCAUCUAAAUUAUAUUAUACUUUUUACAUCCGAAAAUAUUACAUUUUUCCACUCAUCUGUCCAAGACAUGUGCUAUUUUUGCAAAUUGUAGUCUGGCAUAUUAGUGUGCCUCCUCCAAUGCAGGUUUUGUCUUCAUUUUUUUCCACAUUAAUCAAUUACUGCUUGAAAAAAUUUGUUGAUCUCGAAGCUUACUGAUUGGGAGGUUGAAAUCAACCCAGCACCAGUUUAUGCUUUUAUGACAGGUUUGUGUUAUAAUUUACAUGGGUUUCGCAGCUUUUUAUUAUCUAUAUCUUGUUUGAUUUUAUAACAUCUCUAGAAUAUUGCCCCAAAUUCUCAAGUUGAUAUCAGUAAUAGUAUUGGAGAAACAGCUUAGAAAAGUUGGCCGCUCGAGGUCAGCUAUAUGGUUACUUAAAACUUUAAAUGCGCUUUACUCGAAACUGUGUUUUCAAAGUCGGUUGUCAAGAUUUCUCGCGAACUACUCAACUGAUCUUAAUUAAAUUUUUCUUUGAGAUAUAAUUUACAAGGUCUUGCCUCGGAGGAUUUUUUUUGUUCAAUUACAACUAUUGAAAAAAAGAAAUGUCGAGCAAAUUUUACCAAAAUCAUAUUGUUGGAAAAAAGCAUGCCAAAAUUCCAAUUUUAACUUUUUUUUUUCCUCCGUACAAGCAGGAGUUUAUAGUCCUAACUAAAACACAUAUUAUAUAUUUUUCAUUUCAGAUGAUCCUGUCAGGAGUUAUGCUGACAACGCGGACGCACCUUUUUUUGAGGGGUCACCGGAAAUGACGUUACAAUGGCGGAGUUUUAAUUUUUUUUGUUGAAAAUCUCAGAAAUUAUUCUUUGAAUGUGUAUUUUUAAGACAGAAAAAUUCAAUUGAAUUAAUUGAAAAUAGGCCGUUUUUUACCCGACGAACACAUGUAACCUUAAUCAUAUUAUCGAUUUCUGAGGCUGAGCGACUCAAUGUAGCGACAAUUUGCCUGUUAGGCAUGCCAGUAUCCUUGUAAGAGUGGACUUGGGCGACUUCUGUAGGUGCUAGGGUCUUUCCUGUUCCUAUUCCAAAUUUUCGAGAAAAUUAACGCAAAGUAAAACAAUAACUCGUUGAAAAACAAAAAAGAAUUUUAAAAUAAAGUGUAAACAAUGUUGAUUAAUAUCACAACUGUCUCGUUGGAAGAUGCAAAAGAGACUGUUUUUAAUUGAAUUGCGCAACAAAUCUUACUAUUAUUUUAAGGAAGAAAAUUUAGUUUGUAACGUAUAUAUGUAUAAAUGCUAAUAUUUAAAAGCUAAUAUAAAAUAAUUACUAAAAAAUUGUAAAAAUAAAGAGGAAAAAUAGAAUCAUAAAGAAUAAUCAUGUAAAUUUGAAAAAAUACAAUAUUACAUAUCCGUCCUGUAAGGUUAUAGUUAUUUAUUUCUAAUUCCAACAACUUAACGCUUUAUUACUCAUCCGAAUUCACAACUUCUUACUUAUAUCUCAUUAACUCGUUUGUUUUUAUUUUUGUUAUUUGUAUAUAGGAGAAAGAUGUUGCGCCAAGAGCUCUAAAACUAUUCGCAAUUAAUGAAUUUCAUUUUUUUUACUCUAUUCAUUCUCCUUUUAUACCAUUCUAAUAGAAAUCGAUAAUAUUUGCGAUCUAACUAGUGUGUGAGAGUAUUAAUAAGAUAUAUUUCACAUAUUUUUAUGUUAGAAAAAUCAAAUUGUCAAAUGCGCAAUUUUUAACAGUUUUAUGCAAGGGCAUCAACCAGCACAAAAUCAGACGUGAAAACUGCGAAAUGGUGCCAGUAUUUAUUGCACUAUCGAAUAAUCUGUCUCUCUGAAUGAACCAGCACUUCAAAGCAGUAUAUCAACCUCUACCGUGUUAGCUAAAAUUGAUGGGGAGCUUCUUAAAGAAGAUUUUCUGUCCAACCUUCGCCCUGAGCAUCCAUCCAUUCAUGAAAAGGAUUCUCUUCUCAAGUCCCUCGAAGACAUGAGUGCAGAGAAGGUUCCAGAACACAUAAGUCGCGAGUAUGUAAUUACAAGAAAUGGAUCUAUGAACCUAAAUCUAAGGCUACAAUUUUUUGCAAUUGCACGAUUUUUGAAUUUCAAAACAAAAGUAAACUAAAUUUGUUAAUUGUGAGUAUAUAUCCCGAAUAUUAUAUCACAAAAAACUUCAUUAAACAUAUUUAAAUUUCGCCUGCCCUUUAAUUUUCAUUUUUUUAUAUUUUUUGUAGUGUUGUUGUUGUGACGGUUACCUAAUUCUUAUUACGGUGGCAAGACUCUCGUCAUGUAAGAGUUUACCUUGCUACAAUAUCCAGAACAAAAUUGUGCAAGAGUCACUCUCGAUUCUCGAGACAACUCGAGCUUUUUACACCAUUCAUUGGGUGGGAGUCGAUGAAGGUGUUGUUGGCUUCACUGUGAAUGGCAGUCAGGAUUUCUACGAAAUAAUCUAAGCAGAAAUUGCUUGACGAGGGGUGAAUUGUGUUCCUUAACCGAAAGAAUGCAUUCUUCAUUAUGUUGAUGUUUGUCAGGAUACAGCAGGAUUCAUUCUGUUAUCGUGCGGAGUGCAGCAUUUUAGCACAUCAGAAGCUAAUUUGUCUUCAUUUCCCUACAUCCACGCGUUCAUAGUUAAUGACCGGUCGCCUAGUAAGUUGCCAAAAACGUUUAUUUGUCUUUUCCCCAGGUGCUCCCAAAUAGCGACUUUUUGUUGCAGUUCUGAACUUUGGCAACCAUCUCGGUAAUAUGCGAAGUGAAGGAGCAUUUGCUGUCGAGUGUAAUGCUUAAAAUCUGGUACUUGUUAACAGUCGAAAUUUUAGUACCAUCGACUGUGAUGUUAAGAGCUGGUUUGAACUGCUUCGUUCAGUUUGUGAAUAUGGUCGCUGUGAACUUGGUACCGAAAAGAAGCGAGAAAGAUCGGUGAGAUAGCUGUUUACUUUUGAACACAUGCCAUCUAAUCUCACCCGAAGCUACGCUCAUAUGUUCGGAUCAUAUUCUUUUGGGCAACAUGUAACAUGAGGUAUGUACAUACUAAUUAUUUCGAGCUCGAAAAUUAGGAAUCAGAAUUGAAAACGAUAAAAAAAAAUGUAGUAGGCGUCAUGAAUUUGAUGUUAGAAACCGAAAGUGUAUCGGUUUUGGAUGUCACGGAAACCAAUUUUAUUGGUUAUGUUAUCAAAAACAAAACAAGAGAAUAGUCGCUGACAGAUUU